rnacentral:rRNA from 1 species
UACGGAGGGUGCAAACGUUGCUCGGAAUCAUUGGGCGUAAAGCGCACGUAGGCGGCCUAGCAAGUCGGGUGUGAAAUCCCUCGGCUUAACCGAGGAAGUGCAUUCGAAACUACUGGGCUUGAAUACUGAAGAGGGUCUCGGAAUUCCCGGUGUAGAGGUGAAAUUCGUAGAUAUCGGGAGGAACACCAGUGGCGAAGGCGGAGACCUGGGCAGAUAUUGACGCUGAGGUGCGAAAGCGUGGGGAGCAAACAGG